CUGUAAGAAUUAGCAAAAACCAAUUAAUGGAUGGAUCCAACAAUGAGUUCUAUAGAAGUUAGUAUAAUUAAAUUUAAAUAAUCUAUAUUCUUUCAAAUUCAGAACUCACAAUGUUUAAAUUUUGAAACAAUAUUUUGCAGAAAUACAAGGUAAGAUUACGUACGAUAAACCUUUGUAAUCCGACCCUUUCACAAACCACGCACGUAGCGGGAGCUUAGCGCACCCUUUUCAAAUCAUUAAAAGCCUCUAUAUAGUGACAAGAGUGCAAACAAGGGGAGGAAAAGGAAAAAGUAAAGAGGGGAAUUUAUAUAUAUAUAGGAGUAGUAGAUGGAGGGGAGAUUCACGAGGGACAUCCAUCCAUUUUCUGCAAAACCCAAAGCAUGCAUGCUUCUUGUGUGUUUUGUGUUGCAUCAGCCACACCGAAGGCAAAAAGCCCCACUUCCUUCUUAUACCUUAAAAUGCUUCCUCAAAUAGACUAUUACCCUUUCUUCAUUAUUUGCUCUUUCUUGAAUCCAUUCUUGUUAUAGAGUAUAUAUUUGUAUAUUGGUUUUUGAGAGGUUGAAGCUGCCAGCAUGAUCUGGUACGAACAAAGUCCAUUUCUUGCUAUAUAUAUAUUUUCUUGCAAAGAAUAAUCUUGAGGUGUUUUGGGUUUGAAUUUAGCUAAGUGAUUUGGAAAAGAAAUUGGAAUUUUGCAAAGUUUUUAUUGAAAGAGAAUAUAGGUAGCUUUCAUGGGUUUGGUUCCAUCAGGUCAUCUAGCAGCUUCAAUCACUCACCACCAAUACAGAAACAAAUUAAAAGGCUUCAUUUGAGCUUGACUUACUCUCUCAAGGAUAUAUAGUCAAGACAUUGAUUUAUCUCAGGCUGGUGUGAAGGAUCGAAAUCGAUCCCGUAAUAGAUCAGAUCGAAGCACGAGGAUACGACACCGAGUUCAGAUUCAGGGUACCUAGGAAGGUCGAAACCGAUAAUGAUCGAGGUUGAGCAGGACAAACAUCGAGCAAGACCGUGACUAGUCGAAAAUCGUGACGAAAAUCUCGGAACAGAUCAAAUCAAGGGUGGUUGUUUAGUUAAUCAUGAGAUUUACUUCCAUAAUUAGAAUUGUACCAUAGAUAGGAUUCCUGUACUAUAUAAAGAUGGUUCUAAUUAUUUGUAAGACAGAUUGUUCUCACGUAUCAAAGCAAUGUAACACUUUCUCCUUAGCUCA